CCUACGGGAGGCAGCAGUGGGGAAUAUUGCGCAAUGGGCGAAAGCCUGACGCAGCGACGCCGCGUGAGGGAUGAAGGUCUUCGGAUCGUAAACCUCUGUCAGCAGGGAAGAACGGUCACUGUGCUAAUCAGCAGUGAAUUGACGGUACCUGCAAAGGAAGCACCGGCUAACUCCGUGCCAGGAGCCGCGGUAAUACGUUGGGUGCGAGCGUUAAUCGGAAUUAUUGGGCGGAAAGCGAUCGUAGGCGGUAUGUCAAGUCAAGGGUGAAAUCCCCGAGCUCAACGUGGGAACUGCGUUUGAUACUGGCAAACUGGAGUGUGUGAGAGGAUAGUGGAAUUCCAGGUGUAGGAGUGAAAUGCGUAGAUAUCUGGAGGAACAUCAGUGGCGAAGGCGACUAUCUGGCACAUAACUGACGCUGAGGAGCGAAAGCGUGGGUAGCAAACAGGAUUAGAUACCCCUGUAGUC
rnacentral:rRNA from 1 species